rnacentral:tRNA from 1 species
UAUGCUGAUAGUAUAGAAAGUAUGUUUGCCUUCCAAGCAAAAGGCCCCUAUGGGUCAGCAUAAC